ensembl:lncRNA
GGGACCCCAAAAACCGCUCUAUGGGGUCUCUGAGAACUGCACUUCGGGGGACCCCAAAAACCGCUCUAUGGGGUCUCUGAGAACUGCACUUCGGGGGACCCCAAAAACCGCUCUAUGGGGGGACCCCCCCAAGGAGAGCACUGUGGGGUCCUCGAGAAGCGCACGGUGGGGAUCCCCAAAAGGUUGACUACACGGACCCCAAAAACUACGGCAUGUGGGACUCCGGGGGGCACCGCGGGGACCCCAAAACUGCAAAGGGGACCCCAAAACCGCACCAAAGGGGACCCCCAGAGGGGCACUGUGUGCCCCCCCGGCCCCACAGCUCUGUGGGAAGCAGUGCCCGCAGUGACUCAGCACAGCACAGCCGGCCCCAUAGCCGCCCCAUAGCACAGCUGCCCCAUAGCCACCCCAUAGCCGCCCCAUAGUGCACAGCCACCCCAUAGCUGCCCCACAGCCACCCCAUAGCGCACAGCCGCCCCAUAGUGCACAGCCGCCCCAUAGUGCACAGCCGCCCCAUAGCCAUCCCGUAGCUGCCCCAUAGCACACAGCCACCCCAUAGCUGCCCCAUAGCCGCCCCAUAGUGCACAGCCGCCACAUAGCCAUCCCAUAGCCGCCCCAUAGCCCACAGCCAGCCCCACAGCGCACAGUCACCCCAUAGUUGCCCCAUAGCACACAGCCGCCCCCUAGCCAUCCCAUAGCCGCCCCAUAGCUGCCCCAUAGCACACAGUCACCCCAUAGCCGCCCCAUAGCGCACAGCCGGCCCCAUAGCUGCCCCAUAGCACACAGCCGGCCCCAUAGCCGCCCCAUAGUUGCCUCAUAGCUGCCCCAUAGCACACAGUCACCCCAUAGCUGCCCCAUAGCUGCCCCAUAGCACACGGCCGCCCCACACCCAGAGCUCUGGUGGGGCUGAUAAGGCAGCACAGCCGGCUGUGGGGCCGGAGAUACCCACAGGCACCGAAAGGGGGGGGGACCUCCGCCCCACACAUCGCUUCGGGGUCCCCAUAGGAUCUCCGCCCCACACUUUUGGGGCUCUCUGUAGGAACUCCGCCCCCCGCGCGGCACUUUUGGUACAGCGCACAUUUCCCUUUUGAAACCACAACCGCCAAAUGCGGCCCCGAAACCGCGACCCCAAAACCCACAGAACCUCAACUGCCCCCCCGGGAAACUGCCAUCUAUGGGGCAGGUGUGGGGUUCGCAUGGGGCAGCUCAGCCCCACAUCACUGCGAUCUAUGGGGCGGAUGUGGGGUCUGCAUGGGGCAGCUCAGCUCCACAACAUUGGGAUCUAUGGGGCGGAUGUGGGGUUCGCAUGGGGCAGCUCAGCCCCACAUCACUGCGAUCUAUGGGGCAGAUGUGGGGUUCGCAUGGGGCAGCUCAGCCCCACAUCACUGCGAUCUACGGGACAGAUGUGGGGUUUGCAUGGGGCAGCUCAGCCCCACAUCACUGCGAUCUAUGGGGCAGAUGUGGGGUUUGCAUUGGGCAACUCAGCCCCACAUCACUGGGAUCUAUGGGGCAGAUGUGGGGUUUGCAUGGGGCAGCUCAGCCCUACAUCAUGGGGAUCUAUGGGGCAGAUAUGGGGUUUACAUGGGGCAGCUCAGCCCCACAUCACUGCAAUCUAUGGGGCGAUGGGUUUGCAUGGGACAGCUCAGCCCCACAUCACUGCGAUCUAUGGGGCAGAUGUGGGAUUUAUGGGGCGGAUGUGGGGUCUGCAUGGGGCAGCUCAGCCCCACAUCACUGCGAUCUAUGGGGCAUAUAUGGGAUUUAUGGGGCAGCUCAGCCCCACAUCAUGGGGAUCUAUGGGGCAGCUGUGGGGUCUGCACGGGGCAGCGGAGGGUCGGCCCCACAGAAUCAGUGGGGCUCCGCACCCCCGGGGCGGGGGGGGAUCCCACGGGAGCCGCAGCCCCACAGGGACGUGGCAGAGGGGGACGCGGUGUGGGGCGGAGCGGUGCGGGGGGGGUGGGGGGGUUAAGGCGGAGCGGAGCGGAGCACUGUGGGACGGGACGGGGGGGGGGGGACGACGGGCACUCCCUGCCCCACUGCGGGCGUCUGUGGGGCCGGGAACGCUGCGCCCCACGGAGCGCUGCUAUGGGUCCCGGCCCCACAUUGUCCCUAUGGGUCCCCAACCGCACCGGCGUUAGGAAAGCGACGCCCCGCGGGGCCGCACUCCCAACACCUUUAUGUGCCCAACGCUGUGGGGCCGAGGAGACAACGCCCCACUGCCACACCGGGAACCCACUGCCCCACAGCCCGCCCUAUGGGUCCCGGCCCCACUGCGAG